UUAAGCGACUAAGCGUACACGGUGGAUGCCCUGGCAGUCAGAGGCGAUGAAGGACGUGCUAAUCUGCGAAAAGCGCCGGCGAGGUGAUAUGAACCCUUGACCCGGCGAUGUCCGAAUGGGGAAACCCAGUGCAAUCCGUUGCACUAUCGUUAACUGAAUACAUAGGUUAACGAGGCGAACCGGGGGAACUGAAACAUCUAAGUACCCCGAGGAAAAGAAAUCAACCGAGAUUCCCCCAGUAGCGGCGAGCGAACGGGGAGCAGCCCGGAGUCUGAAUCAGCUUGUGUGUUAGUGGAACGGUCUGGAAAGUCCGACGGUACAGGGUGAUAGUCCCGUACACGAAAGCACACUUGCUGUGAACUCGAAGAGUAGGGCGGGACACGUGGUAUCCUGUCUGAAUAUGGGGGGACCAUCCUCCAAGGCUAAAUACUCCUGACUGACCGAUAGUGAACCAGUACCGUGAGGGAAAGGCGAAAAGAACCCCGGCGAGGGGAGUGAAAAAGAACCUGAAACCGUGUACGUACAAGCAGUGGGAGCCUCUUUAUGGGGUGACUGCGUACCUUUUGUAUAAUGGGUCAGCGACUUAUAUUCUGUAGCAAGGUUAACCGUAUAGGGGAGCCGAAGGGAAACCGAGUCUUAACUGGGCGUUAAGUUGCAGGGUAUAGACCCGAAACCCGGUGAUCUAGCCAUGGGCAGGUUGAAGGUUGGGUAACACUAACUGGAGGACCGAACCGACUAAUGUUGAAAAAUUAGCGGAUGACCUGUGGCUGGGGGUGAAAGGCCAAUCAAACCGGGAGAUAGCUGGUUCUCCCCGAAAGCUAUUUAGGUAGCGCCUCGUGAACUCAUCUUCGGGGGUAGAGCACUGUUUCGGCUAGGGGGCCAUCCCGGCUUACCAACCCGAUGCAAACUACGAAUACCGAAGAAUGUUAUCACGGGAGACACACGGCGGGUGCUAACGUCCGUCGUGAAGAGGGAAACAACCCAGACCGCCAGCUAAGGUCCCAAAGUCAUGGUUAAGUGGGAAACGAUGUGGGAAGGCACAGACAGCCAGGAUGUUGGCUUAGAAGCAGCCAUCAUUUAAAGAAAGCGUAAUAGCUCACUGGUCGAGUCGGCCUGCGCGGAAGAUGUAACGGGGCUAAACCAUGCACCGAAGCUGCGGCAGCGACGCUUAUGCGUUGUUGGGUAGGGGAGCGUUCUGUAAGCCGUUGAAGGUGUGCUGUGAGGCAUGCUGGAGGUAUCAGAAGUGCGAAUGCUGACAUAAGUAACGAUAAAGCGGGUGAAAAGCCCGCUCGCCGGAAGACCAAGGGUUCCUGUCCAACGUUAAUCGGGGCAGGGUGAGUCGACCCCUAAGGCGAGGCCGAAAGGCGUAGUCGAUGGGAAACAGGUUAAUAUUCCUGUACUUGGUGUUACUGCGAAGGGGGGACGGAGAAGGCUAUGUCAGCCGGGCGACGGUUGUCCCGGUUUAAGCAUGUAGGCGGAGGUUCCAGGUAAAUCCGGUACCUUAUUAACGCUGAGGUGUGAUGACGAGGCACUACGGUGCUGAAGUGAUAAAUGCCCUGCUUCCAGGAAAAGCCUCUAAGCAUCAGGUAACACGAAAUCGUACCCCAAACCGACACAGGUGGUCAGGUAGAGAAUACCAAGGCGCUUGAGAGAACUCGGGUGAAGGAACUAGGCAAAAUGGUGCCGUAACUUCGGGAGAAGGCACGCUGAUGUGUAGGUGAAGUCCCUGCGGAUGGAGCUGAAAUCAGUCGAAGAUACCAGCUGGCUGCAACUGUUUAUUAAAAACACAGCACUGUGCAAACACGAAAGUGGACGUAUACGGUGUGACGCCUGCCCGGUGCCGGAAGGUUAAUUGAUGGGGUUAGCGGCAACGCGAAGCUCUUGAUCGAAGCCCCGGUAAACGGCGGCCGUAACUAUAACGGUCCUAAGGUAGCGAAAUUCCUUGUCGGGUAAGUUCCGACCUGCACGAAUGGCGUAAUGAUGGCCAGGCUGUCUCCACCCGAGACUCAGUGAAAUUGAACUCGCUGUGAAGAUGCAGUGUACCCGCGGCAAGACGGAAAGACCCCGUGAACCUUUACUAUAGCUUGACACUGAACACUGGUCCUUGAUGUGUAGGAUAGGUGGGAGGCUUUGAAGCGUGGACGCCAGUCUGCGUGGAGCCNGACCCGUAAUCCGGGUUGCGGACAGUGUCUGGUGGGUAGUUUGACUGGGGCGGUCUCCUCCCAAAGAGUAACGGAGGAGCACGAAGGUUGGCUAAUCCUGGUCGGACAUCAGGAGGUUAGUGCAAUGGCAUAAGCCAGCUUGACUGCGAGCGUGACGGCGCGAGCAGGUGCGAAAGCAGGUCAUAGUGAUCCGGUGGUUCUGAAUGGAAGGGCCAUCGCUCAACGGAUAAAAGGUACUCCGGGGAUAACAGGCUGAUACCGCCCAAGAGUUCAUAUCGACGGCGGUGUUUGGCACCUCGAUGUCGGCUCAUCACAUCCUGGGGCUGAAGUAGGUCCCAAGGGUAUGGCUGUUCGCCAUUUAAAGUGGUACGCGAGCUGGGUUUAGAACGUCGUGAGACAGUUCGGUCCCUAUCUGCCGUGGGCGCUGGAGAAUUGAGGGGGGCUGCUCCUAGUACGAGAGGACCGGAGUGGACGCAUCACUGGUGUUCGGGUUGUCAUGCCAAUGGCACUGCCCGGUAGCUAAAUGCGGAAGAGAUAAGUGCUGAAAGCAUCUAAGCACGAAACUUGCCCCGAGAUGAGUUCUCCCUGAGACUUUAAGUCUCCUGAAGGAACGUUGAAGACGACGACGUUGAUAGGUCGGGUGUGUAAGCGCAGCGAUGCGUUGAGCUAACCGAUACUAAUGAACCGUGAGGCUUAACCUU
rnacentral:rRNA from 1 species